rnacentral:lncRNA from 1 species
UGUCUGUACAGUAUCAUAGCUUUAGCUAUAGAUAAAUCACAAAAAAUGGCCAUCAGGGACUUUAUCUUCAGCACAUAGAAAGCACCCCAAUUUGUUUUUGCCUUGAAGACUGCCACUGGCUGCCCAUAGAGGCUGUGAAGCCUCCAGGCUGGGAGAUACUCAAAGCUCAGCUGGAUGCAGUCUACAGGUGUUAGGAGGAAAUUCUUCAUACAGAAGAGGUCGUUGAGGCAUAGGCACUGCUGCUCAGAGCUCUGGGUGCCUCAUUUCGGGAGGCACUCACGGCGAGUUUCGACGUGGCGCUGAGCAGCCUGAGCUGCUGGGGGGCAGCCCUGCCCACGGCACGGGGUGGGAACUGGGUGGGCUUUAAGGUAAUUACAACCCACGCCAUUUGGUGAUACAAUUCCACGAUAUGAGAAGCCUGCUUGGCACCAGGAGUGGGCAGGUGGCGGCCAUGCUCGCAGAGUAAGACGCAGAAUGCCCGAGGAAGGGCAGGACCCGGCGAGCGGCCGGACUCAUGGCAGGGCCGCGCCACCCGCUUCCCGCCCGAGAUGGCGGCCGGCGCCGAGCGCCAUGUUCCGUGGCAGCCGGCGGCGACACCUAGCGAGCGAGCGACAGGCUGCGGCCGGGGAGCGAGCCCAACUUCGGCUCUCAACUUUGUUUUCGCUGCAGUAAACGCUGACAGAAGCGUCGGGGACAUCUGUGGCGUGACAGCAGACUUCCUUCUCUGCCGGGAACUGCACUGAGCCCUGUGGGAUCACCACUUCAGUAUUCCAGAAGGAAGCAAUGGAAGACUUCAGUUACCUGUGAACAGACUUGUCCUAUGAAGUAUUACAGCACUUUUCUGCUGUUCUGCCAGCUCUGCUGUUUGUCAGGCUUUGCAGGAGAAAGCCAGCUGUCCUGUUAAAUUACCAGUCUUUUCAAGAGGAAGUCAACUUCAGCGUUCUUUUAACUGAUAGAUAAAC